GAUGAACGCUGGCGGCGUCCCUAAUACAUGCAAGUCGAGCGAACAGACGAGGAGCUUGCUCCUCUGACGUUAGCGGCGGACGGGUGAGUAACACGUGGAUAACCUACCUAUAAGACUGGGAUAACUUCGGGAAACCGGAGCUAAUACCGGAUAAUAUAUUGAACCGCAUGGUUCAAUAGUGAAAGACGGUUUUGCUGUCACUUAUAGAUGGAUCCGCGCCGCAUUAGCUAGUUGGUAAGGUAACGGCUUACCAAGGCAACGAUGCGUAGCCGACCUGAGAGGGUGAUCGGCCACACUGGAACUGAGACACGGUCCAGACUCCUACGGGAGGCAGCAGUAGGGAAUCUUCCGCAAAGGGCGAAAGCCUGACGGAGCAACGCCGCGUGAGUGAUGAAGGUCUUCGGAUCGUAAAACUCUGUUAUUAGGGAAGAACAAAUGUGUAAGUAACUAUGCACGUCUUGACGGUACCUAAUCAGAAAGCCACGGCUAACUACGUG
rnacentral:rRNA from 1 species